UAAAUUGUUCAGAUCAUACCACGUGUAGUGAUUUUGUUUCUUUCUUUCUUUUUGUCUUUUUUCACAGGCACAUAAACUUCCCUGCCAAAAAAGAAAUCGUGUAAGGCAUUUCAGAUACUUCUGACAAAAGUGGAUGGUGAUGGUAGUGCUUUUAAUCAUUAGCAAAGUGUCCAGAGCACUCAGUGAUACAGAGGAUGCAGACUUGAUGCCACUCUCGGGUUAUGGGAGCCAUGGUCUGAACACUGAAGGAAACGAGUUCCCUGCUCACUGGGCUACAAUAUAUUGAAAUAGAUGUGCUCUCAACCUCUCAGCCCAACACUGUUUUGCUCCAGAAGCCUGUUAUCCUAAUCACCAGCAUCUUGCAGGCAACACUGCAAGAGUCCAUCACUGCCAAUCCAUGCUCAAAGAGAAGUAUCAGAGAGAACAAUGGGAGAAGGUAAUACCCAAAAGUGCUGUUCACAUACAGAGGGGAGCACAGUGUAAAAGUCUAUUGUAGAAUAAUGGAGGAGAAAAUCUACAAGGAGGUGCAGAGACAGCUCUACCCAGAGAGUCCAGCUAAUUCUACAGGCAGGCAGGAUGACAACCAGGGGAUGGCUCCAGAAAUUACUCCCAUAUUACGUCUUCAACUCCCUUGCUUCUCUACCUCCAGCAGCAGCAGCAGCAGAAAGUGAG
rnacentral:lncRNA from 1 species